rnacentral:rRNA from 1 species
AUUGAACGCUGGCGGCAGGCUUAACACAUGCAAGUCGAGCGGAGAUGAGGUGCUUGCACCUUAUCUUAGCGGCGGACGGGUGAGUAAUGCUUAGGAAUCUGCCUAUUAGUGGGGGACAACAUUCCGAAAGGAAUGCUAAUACCGCAUACGCCCUACGAGGGAAAGCAGGGGAUCUUCGGACCUUGCGCUAAUAGAAGCGCCUAAGUCGGAUUAGCUAGUUGGCGGGGUAAAGGCCUACCAAGGGGACGAUCUGUAGCGGGUCUGAGAGGAUGAUCCGCCACACUGGGACUGAGACACGGCCCAGACUCCUACGGGAGGCAGCAGUGGGGAAUAUUGGACAAUGGGCGGAAGCCUGAUCCAGCCAUGCCGCGUGUGUGAAGAAGGCCUUUUGGUUGUAAAGCACUUUAAGCGAGGAGGAGGCUACCUGGAUUAAUACUCUAGGAUAGUGGACGUUACUCGCAGAAUAAGCACCGGCUAACUCUGUGCCAGCAGCCGCCGUAACAC